rnacentral:pre_miRNA from 1 species
AGUGAAAUUGUUGGGUCAUGUAGUAAGUUUAUAUUCUACUUUUUAAGAAACUGCCAACAUGUUUUCCAAAGUAGCUGCACUGCUUUGCAAUCCAACUAACAAU